UCUCAGCCUCAGUGAUACCUUCCUGAGGGGCUGAAGAGCAUCCUCUAGAUCCCACAACUUGAAGAGAGAAGCAGGCCAGUUCUCCCAGUCCAGAUCCCAGGCUCUUUUUCCUGACGCUCACACUUAGUACACAGGGUGACAUCCAAGCCUUCCUGUCUUCCCACUCCCUGUGAAUCAUUCCUGGCUGCUACCAAGAACCAGGCUUCACAGCUGUUGCAAUUGCGCCCUGGCGCAAUCUGAGGACAGCUGCUGCUGCAGGGCCCGCCCCGCCCCCGGGGCAGCUGGUCUUCAUGACAGGAAGGCGCUGAAUGGUUCUGAAGUACAGAGAGAAAGCUGGCCCGGUCGGGACCACCCACUGGUGCCCGGCCCUCGGCCUGGAACCAGGACGUGCCCCUUGCUCAGCUGUGUGUCUAACCACUAUGGGGCCCUGACAAGUGCCUUUCCCUCUCUGGCCUCAGUUUCCCUUUUCUAUUAUGCAGGGAUGGAAUGAGGUAAGGCGUGAGGGACCCUUCAGGCCCAGGAGUCAGGGCCUCUGUGAGAAGUCCUGGGAAAGCAUAGGGUGAUCUGGUGGCUGUGAGCACGGGCUGUCGUUCAUUCACCAAGGUUUCAGCACCUGAAUGUGCCAGACUCUGUUCUAGGCGCUGACGAUCCAGCAGCAAACAAGACAGAUGCCAUCCCCAGCCUCAGAGAGGGAGACAGGCACUGAACAAACAUCUAAUCGUGCUGAGAAGAAGACUUCUUAUGAAGGAGCUAUCAGAGAGGGGAGGGAUGGCAGGGCUGGGGGGAUGGGGAGGUCAGAGAAGUCCUUGCCCGGGAGGUGACAUUGAAGCUGAGAUGGGGGGGCGGGGAGACGGUGCCAGUGUCAUCAAGAAAGGGGCAGGAAAGAGUAUUCCAGGCUGCAGGGCCGGUGUGUCUGAAGGAGUGAGGGUAGGGGUAGGGGACAUGCAGGUCAAGGAGCUAACUUUACCAUUAGAGCCCCUGGGACCUUAGAAAGGACCCUUAACCUCCCUGAGGCUCUUUGUCAUCACCUGCAAAUUAGUCAAAAUGUCUACCUUGCAAGAUACGCAUGAGGAUUUAAUUACAUAGCGCCCCCUGCUUAUUUCAAGGCCUUAUGAAAAAUAAGUACUCAAUAAAUGGCAGCAAAGUAUCUAGUUAUGCCCUGUGCAUAUAUGAUUUAUAACUAUUGGUCUGAUUAUAUUUUGUAAUCCACUCCUCUGUUUUUCUUUAUUCUUCUGUCCUUUUUUUUAGUUUGGGCUUUCACACUACAUUUUAUAUAUUCCUUUAAAUUUCUGUAAAGGGAACAUUAUUAUUAUUAUUACUAAUAUUAUUACUAAUAACAGUAAUAAAAUGAGAGUGUGGGAAGAAGUGUGUAAGCUGCUAUGCAAAUGUGAGGAAUUCUUAUCACAUAUUCCAAAUGUCUCAAGCUGCACUGAUAUAUAAUAAUUGCAUCGCAGAAUCAAAAGCUCCUUGCACACCUGAAGCUUCACCCAUGUACGGGGGAGCUGUGGACAUUGGGCCUCUUUUCCCACGGGGCUCUGGUUGACGCUCCUGAGGGAGAGAAUUAGCUGUAUGCAGAUGGAAUGAAUGAAGAUGAGGAAGAAUUUUCUAACAUGUUUCUAACAAUUCAGUUCCAAGGAUGAAAUGACCUCGAGAGGUAGUAAUUGUGUGAGCUGUACUUAUCCUUUUUUUUUUUUUUUUUUUUUUUUUGCGGUAUGUGGGCCUCUCACUGUUGUGGCCUCUUCCCGUUGCGGAGCACAGGCUCCGGACGCGCAGGCUCAGCGGCCAUGGCUCAUGGGCCCAGCUGCUCCGCGGCAUGUGGGAUCUUCCCGGACCGGGGCACGAACCCGUGUCCCCUGCAUCGGCAGGCGGACUCUCAACCACUGCGCCACCAGGGAAGCCCUGUACUUAUCCUUUAAGCAAUGGUUUGGAGAGGAUUCAAGCCUUGGAUGGAAGAUGGUAUUUGUGAGUGGUGGUAAAGGAUAUGGAAAAAUUGGAAGAGAUAAUGUCAUCAAUUAGGAACUGAUUCAACUCCAGGAAAUGGAAGUUCAAAACAGUGGCUUACACAAUAUGCAUGCUUAUAUCUCUCUCUCAUAAAAGUAUCAAGUAUAAAGAUGGGUGGUCCAGGGCUGGCAUGGUGGCUCUUCUACCUAAUCCUUCUGGUUCACAUCCACCUUCCCUAUGGUGUGGCCCUCGUCCUUUUGGUACAAAAUGGUGGCCAUCAUACCCACAUUCCAGGAAACAAGAGUCCGAAAGGUGAAGAGACAAAGAUGGAAAGGACAAAGGAAGACUCUUAGAAGCUGCCACAUCUCAUUGGCCAGAACUUAGUCAAAUGGCACGCCUAGUGGCAAGAGAGGAUGGGAAAUGUAGUCUUUAUUCUGGUAGCCAUGGUUCCAGCUAGUAAGUCCAUCUGUGGAAGGAGAGAAUCAAGGUUGAGGAGCAAUCAGCAUGAUGUUUCUGACAUCCUUCAGUAAUAAAAGUCUGUGAGAUUGUGAUUCUCGACGCUCUAUCACUGUAGCCAAGGUCCGAGCCCUUGCUUUUGACCCAAAGUAGGUAUCUGAGUGGAAUAGGACAGGCUGAGACUGCUAAGGGAAGACAGGGAAGGCUCACAGAAAUGCUGUAUUAGAGAGGGUACUGCCCCUCUGUUCUCUAUGCUGAGUGCCACCUCGAUAUUUGGAAGCCUCUCACCAGAAACCCAUGAGCUCAGCAGCCUACAAAAUUGCCUUUCCUUGGGGCAAAGAAAUGUUCUGUCCUUGGCUUUCAAAGGUAGGCACUUUACGAAAUGCAUGCUUGAAGGAUAUUUCCAUAUCUAUGCCAAAAUGGAGGUAAAGCUGUUGUCCACUAUGUCAGGAAAUGCACUAGAUUUAACUCCCUGUGUGAAGGGAUCCAUUCUGGAAUUCAGAAUCAGGAAAAUGCUUAUCUCCAGCUGGACUCACAUGAUUUCCUUUCUCUGUAACACAUCAGAUAACACAGUGGCUCUCAGUUGUGUUUGCCGUCUUAGCAUUAUGAUGACUCCUCCUACUUUUGGUAACAUCACUUGCUUUUCUUUGGGGAACACCCCACCCCAAUUCCCCACCCCAGCUUUCAGUCCACGUGGUUCUGCUGGGGCUUAUUCUACCUUUUCUUUUCCUCCAGCGGGUGGGCCUAAUAUGAAGUCCUGGCUAAUUGAAGUCACAGUGAUUGUUUCCCGGAUUGGAUUAUGAUUUACUCUGGGCCAGUUAUAUGAUUCCCCUGAGAUUUUUACCAAAAUUAUUGAGAAGUGGGAGAAGCACGUGUCUUCCAUUGGGGGGUGUUAAGCUGAUAAGAUGCAAACCUGAAGUUGCUGGUGGCCAUCUUUGCACCUUGUAGAAAGAGCUUGCUUGAGAAUGACGGAAUGAGGCCAACACAGAGGACCGCAGAGCAGGGAAUGGAAAGUUUAAAACAUUCCUGAUGACGUUAAUUGAGCCUCUGAAGCCAGUCCAUCUCUGAAUUUCCCAGUAUCUCCCUAAAUUUCCCAGUAUAUGAGUCAAUAUGUUCUCUCUUCUUAAAAAAAAUAUAUUUAUUUAUAUAUCUAUUUUGGUUGCGCCAGGUCUUAGUUGUGGCGUGCGGACUCUAGUUGCAGCAUGCGUGCAGGAUCUAGUUCCCCGACCAGGGAUCAAACCCAGGCCCCCUGCAUCGGGAGCUCGGAGUCUUACCCACUGGACCACCAGGGAAGUCCCUGUUCUCUCUCUCUCUCUUUUUUUUUUUUUUUUGCUUAAGCCAGUUUGAGCUCGGUUCCCAUCACUUACAAAUGAAAUAGUCCCCAAUCACACACUAACUAAAGUGCAAUUCUUCCUGGAAGUGGAGAUAAGAAUUUUGUGAUUAAGAAUGUUAAGUUCUCGAAGAUGCUUCAUUUACCUGCUGCACAGCUUCUUUCACAGGAAGCUUGUUGGGAGCUUAAUGCGCAGGCCCACUGUGGCAGAGUGCCUGCAAAAUUGGUUGCCAGUGAUUCCUCUCAUCCCUGUGCACAUGUGCCACUCUUCCCACUGGGUAGUGAACUCCAUUUUUUCUCCCCUUAAACCAUGAAUUUUGGUUUGUUUUAUGACUUGCUUUGACCAAUAGAAUGUGGUUUCAGUGAUGCUGUGCUAGUUCCAGGCUUAGCUCUUCAGAAGCCUGGCAGGUUUGCUUUUGCUCUCAGUCCCUGAGCUGUCAUAUAAAGAAGUAUCGCUCCCCUGCUGGAGAGACCAUGUGAGAGAGGAGGCCUAGGCAGCCCCCAGAUGUUCUAGUUAACACAGUGGAGGCACUAAAAAUGUGAGGGAAGCCACCUUGGACAUUUAGAGCCAGCCAAGCAGAGCAGAGAAUGGAAAAUAUGGUAUAUUCUUGAUGAUGUUACUUGAGCCUCUGGAUCCAGCCAUGCCUGAAGGCAGUCCAGUUGGAUGCAGCAGCCUGAGUAGUCCCAGCCAACAAAAUAUAGAGCAGAAGAACCACCCAGACGAGCCCAGCCAAUCCACAGGACCAUGAGAAAUAACAAAUUGCUGUUUUGUUUGUUUGUUUUUUGGCCAUGCAGCAUGCAGGAUCUUAAUUCCCUGACCAGGGAUCGAACCCAUGCCCCCUGCAGUGGAAGUGUAGAGUCCUAACCACUAGACUGCCAGGGAAUUCCCUCAAAUUGCCAUUUUAAGCCACCAAGUUUUGGGUUUUUAAAAUAUUUAUUAUUUAUUUAUUUGGCUGCACCAGGUCUUAGUUGCGGCACGUGGGAUCGUUUCACUGCAGCACGUGAACUCUUAGUUGCGCCAUGUGGGACCUAGCUCCUUGACCAGGGAUUGAACCCUGGACCCCUGCAUUGGGAGGGUGGAGUCUUAACCGCGGGACCACCAAGGAAGUCUCUAAGCCACUAAAUUUUGAGUUGGUUUGUUACACAGCGAUAGCUGACUGAAAUGUCCACUUGAGCAGCUUUGGAAUACCAGGAUGUGUCACUGGGCGUUUUGUUUGAAUGAGGGCUUUAUUGAGAAAUCGUGGUGGGAAAGGUUGGGAUUAAGGGUCAGAUGAGUGCAGGCUGAGGAUUGAGACUCUAGAACAAUGAGGAGAGGAACUCUGCUUCAGCACUGGGGAGGUCCUUAGUGGCUGGGAACUCAACUUGCAGGAGAGAGAGGCCAAAGCCAAGGUUUAGCUCAAGAGGCUGACUGAUGGUUGAUGGGAAACACUGUUUGGCAGGUAGUCAUUCAAAGGUCCUUCAGCCCAGCCACCUUUGGGGAGUGGCAGGGGGGCUCACUCAGCUACUUCAGACAGAGUCGGACAUGCUGGCAGGGAGUAAGCCCUUCCACAGACCCUGAGGGACAAGCGGGGGGCAGAGAGAGGCCCACAAGGGCAAGUGCAGAGGGAUGAUCCAAAAGAGGCAGGGCUGGGCCUGGGGCUCUGAAAUCACAGACCACUGGGUCUUUACAAAUUUAGAAGUCCCCAGACCUGGAGAAACAAGGGUUAGGCUUUCAAUGCUUCUGCUGUCUUAUUUUUCUUUUUCAUUAUCCUGUUUUAUUUGGAAUUUAACCUUCUAAAUCAUCUCACAUCUUUUUUUUUGGCUGCGUUGGGUCUUUGUUGCUGCAUGCAGCUUUCUCUAGUUGUGGCGUGCAGAGGCUACUCUUCAUUGCGGUGGCUUCUCUUGUUGCAGAGCAUGGGCUUUAUGCGCGUGGGCUUCAGUAGUUGUGGCACACGGGCUCAGUAGUUGUGGUGCACGGGCUUAGUUGCUCUGUGGAAUGUGGGAUCUUCCCGGACCAGGGAGCAAACCCGUGUCCCCUGCAUUGGCAGGCGGAUUCUUAACCACUGUGCCACCAGAGAAGUCCCUCAAACCCUUUUUGAAAGUGGGCGGAAGGCAGUGGGUCACAGAUGCCUGAGAGCUGGGAUUAUCUCUGGAACCCAGUGUGAGGGACCAGAGCUGGUAGACUGCCCCCUGGCUCUACCAGCUUUUCUAGGGAGAGGCCCUCAGGUGUGUCAAUGUGUGAGUGUGUGUGAGUGUAUGAAUAGAUAGAAGUGUGAGUGUGUGUGACUGAAUAUAUGCACAAGUUGUGUAUAUGAGUGCUUGUAAGAGUUGUGUGAAAAAAAUGGGUGUGUGCUUGCGUGUGCUUGAGAGUAUAUAUGUAUGUGAGUUAUGUGUGUACACAAGUGUGAGUGAGAGUGUAAGUGUGCGAGUUGGGUGACAGUGGAUGUGCAUUCAUGUGUGUAGGUGUGUUUGUGUGAAAGUGUAAGUGUGAUCAUGAAAUGUGUGUGUUGGUGUGAUAUGAAUGUUUGUGUGCAUGAGUCGGGUGUGAUCUGGGUGGAAAUGUGUGUUAGUGUGAGUGUGUUGAGAGCAUGCCGAUGGAAGAAGGAGAACGGGAGUGCGUGUCUGAGUGUGUGCGGGUUAAGUCGACCCCCUCACAGCACCAGCACGAUCUUUAGAAAACCUAGUCAAAGAAGGUGCUGGGUGCACACUGCUCCUAGGACCAGCCCCCGCCCUCUGACCUGUGACCCCGCCCCGACCGACGAUCCCUGCAUGGGGGCCCUCCCCCACCUUUCUCUCCCUCGUGCCCUCCUCCUUACACCGCUGGUAUUCCCACCUCAACCCUGCACCGCCCCGCCCCAGUCCCAAGGCUGCCCUGGGGCGGCUCCUCCGGGGACAGGAGAGUGAUGAGGUGUCGGCCGCCCCGGGGCCCGGGUCCGAGAGAAUGCCGAUGUGCCGGAGGCCCUUGUGAAACUUAUUCCUGACAGCAGUGAAGCUGAAAAUCUCCAGGCCUCCACCUUCGCUGACUGCCAAGGUCGCGGCUCCCUCGAGCUGGGAUCCCGCUCUCUGCCGCCCUCUGCUGGGCAUCUGUCACCGGCGGGCGCAGAGGGAAGCCGGCCCUGCACCCGCACCCCAAGCAGAGCAGCUUCCCCACAGCUUUGCUGCCACACGGGGCGCAGCGGGGCCGGGCUGGAUGCUCCCCAAGGCCUAGGUUCUGGGUUCAUUGUCUCUUCGAUGCGCAUUGCAGGUCUGACCCUCGGUAGAUGCCCCAGGAAGAGAAAAUGAAUGUAUGCAUUGGCUCAGUAGUGGAAGGGGAAACUGAGGCCCACAGAGGCGAACCCAGUGGGCUGGUUGCGCACGCAGGACGCAUACUGAGUCUGCCAAGUGCCCAGGGCUUGCUCUGCCACAGCUUUAUGGAUUGGGGGCGGGGGGAGGCGGGCGAGUCCUCCCUUUUCCUGCUCAGCAUAAGCCUGACUUUCUCAGCUGACUGGGCUGCCCCACUAGAAGUAGUCUGUCCCCAGAUUGGGGCAACUGGGCCAGACUGGGGAGGUGGGCUGCGAGGAGCCGGAACCCGGCCUGCCUCUUCUAGGCACCCAGUCUGGUCCUGCACGAUUGUGCUGAGCUGGCCCACGACCCGGCGGGUGAUGACGCUGACAAGAGGCACGCCCGGGAGCCUGAGGAUAUGUGGGGGAGCCCCAGGUGCUUCCACCGCUCCCACUGCCUCCGCCAUGGCAUCAUCACCCUUCCGGACAGAGGAAGAUUCUGAGGGGCCUGAGUUGCGGAAGGCCACUCCACAUGUCCAAGCCUCUCCCACCAGACCCUGGAGCUCCCCCAGGAGGACUGUUUGCUCUCUCCAGCUGCCCCGGGGGGUGUGCCCCUCUGGGGAGACAGAGUCACCUGGUUCCCAUCCCAGGGCUCCCAAACAGAGAUAGCUCAACCCCGUCUCUUCUAGUGACUCAGUGUAGGAAAAGGGAAAGCACGGAAAAGCAGAAAGAGAGGUACCAAACCACCUGAGAUAGCAACCCAGGGAUCAGCCCCCAAAUAGACCCAUUAACUAUGCCUUUUCUGGAGUCUAAAUAGAUUCCUCCCCUACUACUUUCUCCAGGACUGAACCCCUCCCUGACCUCUCUGGGCGGCCUCACCUAGUGCACCUGGCACCGUCACUCGAACCCAGAUGGUCCCCACCUUAAGGAUAGGCCUCUGUGCCCCUCCCUCCUGUGUCAUCCCCCCCACCCCCCACGUCGUGCCUGACUCAGUGAUGGCUCAGAAGCCCUGUGGAGCCGUAGAUACUAAGGUUCCAUUUCUAAGUGAGAUGACUGGGUCGGCUGCUCUCUGGCUCUGAGACCUGCAGUGGUUCCCAGGCGGACAAGAGAAGUUCUCAGACAGAUUAGUCCGGCGUUCAAGGCCCCACACCAUCCUGCCUACCGCCGUCCCAGCCAUUGCUCCUUCACACUGCAAGCCCACAGGAAGGGUCAGCUUCCCUUUGGGCUGGCUUCCCCUGCGAACUGGGCCUCUCACUGUCGUGGCCUCUCUCGUUGCAGAGCACAGGCUCCAGACAUGCAGGCCCAGCAGCCAUGGCUCACGGGCCCAGCCGUUCUUCGGCAUGUGGGAUCUUCCCGGACUGGGGCACGAACCUGCGUCCCCUGAAUCGGCAGGCAGACUCUCAACCACUGCACCACCAGGGAAGCCCCAGAACUGCUUUCUAAGCUAUUGUGAUGGGUUGAAUGGUGGCGCAUCAAAAGACAUGUCCACACACGAAUUCCUGGAAUCUGUAAAUGCGACCUCAUUUGGAAAAAGGAUCUUGGCAGAUGUGACCAAGUUAAGGAUCCUGAGAUGAAGAGAUUAUCCGGGAUCGUUCAGUUUUUACUUUUGGCUGAGGAAUUGCCACAAGCCACUGAACUUGGAAUCAAUCCUGGCUCUGCCUUAUGCUAUGUGAGUGACUGUGGGCUGGUCACUUGACCUCUCUGAACCUCAGGAGCUUUGAGACGAAGGUGAUGCGAGUUAAAGUAAAUCGGUUUUAUCUCAAGCCAGGAUUCUUCUCCAGAUUUGACCUCCCUUCCCUGGACUCCUCAGAAGGACUUGGUUCAGGCCACAGAGACAAGCUUCUGUAGGGAGGCCUGGGUUGAGGUUCACUGCAGCUCUAAGAGCCUGUCCUGCUCUGGUCGCAGCGGGGGCCCAGGCUCCUGAGCCAGGCGCUGAGAAGCACGUGUGAAUAAGGCAUGUCCGCUGCCUGCAAGCAGCUUCCACCUGGUGACUCUUCAAAAAAAAAACAGUAAAACAAAACAUGCACGUGCAAGACCGUAGCCGCAAAUUCGCAGUCACGUAGAUAUACACCAAAACCAGCACAAUAAAAACAGUGCUAUCUGAGCCAAUAGCUGAAGCCAAUAUGUAAGUCAGCCUUCGGUAAGUACCAUCCGUUAUUAGCUGUGUUGGGGGAGCAGGCCUUUGAACCCAAGCUGCUGGGGAAGUGUCCCCCCUCCCAGGACUCCUCUCCCAUAAACAGCCAGGAGACACCACCCCCUUUUCCCCUCAUCCUCCACAGCACAAGCUCUUCUUCCUUCGGGGUCUGGGCUCUGGGGGUCCGAAGAGAACAUUUCUCAUGUUGUACCCUUUUCCUGCUUCCGCUGGAGGACGGGGCUUCCCACCCAAAAUAGAUGCAGACCCACCCAGCAAGAGGAGGGGCUGACAGCUUGUGGGGGAAGAUCAGAACUCUGGAUCUUGUAAGUUCAGACGUCCUGUAAACUCUGACCAGAGUAUAAACAUCCCCCGGGACUGAGGGGAGGAUGUGUUGGUGGGCAGGGGGCCCGGCGCCUCCAACUGCCCUGGGGACAGGCUGUUUAUUCCACAUCCCUCACGGGCCCCCUUGGGCUCCUUCCUGUCUAGGUCUGGGCAAGUAGAGGCAGGCAGGACAGCCCCACAUGGGGCCUGAGGCCUUGGACGUAAGAUUCGACCUCUCAGGGCUGGAAGGGAACUUUCAAAGCUCGCCAAGCUCAACUCUCUCUUCUUUUUGCAUCUCCCUCACAGCUGGUCUUCUGGCCUCUGCUAAAACACCUUGGCUAAUGGGGAGCUCGGGACAGUCCAUUCUAUUACUGGCACUCUGGCAGCUGGAAAGUGUUCGAAAAAAGUUGUUCUAGAAUUGUUCAGUGUGAGCUGAUUGAGCACAGCUAAGAAUAAUGUGUACAACGAAAUAAUAGCAGGGCCAUUCACUGAGCUCACACUGUGCCAGGUGCUUUAUGUGCAUUAUCCCAUUAAAUUCUCCUUCCUCUCGAGGAGGACACAUAGGCUCAGAAAGGUUAGGCCACCUGCCCAAGGUGACCCAGCAGUUUUGUGGAGGGGCUGGGGUUCAGUUGCUUUAGUUCAAAGUGUGUGCUUUAAAUAUUAGCCUAUACUGGUUUUUCACAAUCCAAAAGCAAAAAUAGCACACGUAACACAAAAACACUGUACAACAAACACAGUCACACACUAACCAACCACAUUACAAUAAAAGCAGCCCAAACUGACCAAAUCUUAAGUACCCUUUGUAUGCCAGGAAAAUCAUAAUUUUUAUGAUAAGGCCACUUUAACAACCUUAGGAGGAAACUGAGGCUCAUUGAAGUUAGGAGGAAUGGAUGUGGCCACAUUAGAAGGGGCAGAGCAUGUGUCCAAGCAUCACUUCUGAAGUCUGCAGUCUCCCUCUACACCAUAUUGCAUGAUAGGAGGGCACUGUAGCAUAACGAAAGAGAAAGCUUGUAUCAUUAUUAUUAUUAUGUUCAACAUCGAGAGCUUUAAAAAGCGGGAUCUGCAUCCUCAGAGAUGAAUGAUCUCCCUACACUGGACGUGUCUCGCAAAGAUGCUUUAGAAGAGGUUCCUACACAAGAUAUUCCCCAGCGUCAAUCCGCGACCCAGAGACACAAACUUGGUGUUUUCGAGGCUGGAUGCUGGGUGGCAGGGAGGCCUCGGACGCCCAGUCCCAGAGCACAAGCCCACCCAUUGCAGUCCUCCUCAACUCGCAUUUCCUUGACUGCUCCCCUGGGGGAGGAGGUAUUGGCGCCUGGCCUGGGCAGAGGGUCAUGUGGAUGCGGCGGACCCUCUGCACAUCCCAGUGGCCGCCCAUUCACCCAGGCCUUGCCCUUUUUGAGAACUGGGAGCUCUCUGGCUGGGUCUGUUCCCACCAACAGCGUUCCCAUCCAGGGAGCUUAAAAUAGUGCCUCUUGGCUGGGGCUCUGGAGUGAGCAGUGAGGGAGGCAUUUGUGCAAAUAUGGGCCUGGGAGAAGGACUCCUACCCCAAGGGGGUGGGGGUGGGGUGGGGUGGGCAGUGCGGCAGGAGAGCCAAGACCUCCAGUGGAGGAUGCGCCCUCCUGGCCACAGCCCCCCUCCAUCUUGCAGUAGAGGCGCCUGCUAGUCUCCUCCUGCCUCCCCGACCUUACUGGGUCCACUUGGGCAAAUCUCUACACUGAAUCCCGCAGGCCUUCCUGGCCCAGCCGAGGCUCCAGGGUGGGCCCACUGGGAACAGGGACCUCUACGUUCUUCUGCUGGUUCUAUCCUUGUCCCCACCUCCUACCUAGGAACACUCUAGAAGCAUCCUUUUGAAGGCCCAACUCAAAAGUUAUUUUUAAUACUCACAGUAACAAUUGCAGCUGCCACUAAUUGAGGGCUUACUUUUGUCAAGCGCUCUGCUAAGUACUUUAACAUGCAUUGUCUUUGGUCCCAACGACCAUCCACUGAGAGCCAAGUUACCAUUAUCUCCACUGUGCAGAAGAAACUAAGGCUCAGAGAAGUCAAGUAACUUUCCCAAGGUCACACAGCUCUGAAUUGGCAGAGGCAGGAUUAAAACUCAGGUCUGUCAACCUCUGGAGUCUGAACUCUUACCUCCUGAGCUGCACCUCCUCCUCCAGGUCCCCGCUGCUCUGGGCUCCCAUGCUCCAUCCCAGCAUUAUCACCCUGUAUCACAUACAUACGGCUGUUUUGAUUCAAUGCAUCAAGUAUUUAGUGAAUGCCUACUGUGUGCCAGGAACAUUGCUGGGUGCCAUGCCCACACCCUGGGAGCUCUCAGAUCCUCUUGGAGGACUCUAGUUUGGGCUUGGGCUCAGUGACCUCCCUGACAUGCAGGAUCUGGUUUGAAGAUGUCAGGGUGAGGUUGAGGCAAGCACAGAUCCUCCUUGAUGAUCAGCUGCCUCCUUCCUGGACAUUCCUGCCUCCUUCCUGGCUGGGAUGCUCCUCUCCUUCCCGCAUAGCAGGGAACAGCAUGUGCAGGAAUCAGACAAACUUGCUUUGAAUGCUCUGUGACUUUGGGCUCUCUGAGCCUCAGUUUCCCCAUCCAUAGAUUCGGGAUAAAAUUAGGACCUCACCACAAGGUGGUUGGAAGGAUUUAAUAAAACAAUGCACAUGAAGGACUUAGCACAGUGCCUGGUGGUCAGUAAGUAGAAUUAUACAGCAGCUCUUAUUGCUAAUUGUUUCUUUCUGAAAAUUACGGUGUCCAGGUGCCAGAUGCUUAGGGCCUAGCACGUGGUAGGUGCUCCAAGUGAAGGGAAUCACUGACACAGCUGCAGAAGCCCCCAACCCUCCCCACCUCUGCCCCCUCACUCUUGGCUGGUCGUGCUGUUCCUGAUCUGAUGUGGAAGGUGUCCCGGACACUGGUCCUCAUCAACAGUAGGGUUACUUGGGCAGCCGGGGGCAGGCAAAGGACUUUUACUUACCUGGUUCCCUCAUUUUCAGCCCAGGGUCCAUUCUAGGGAAAAGGGGUGGCUGGCACGGAAGUUCUGCCGGGGUUUGCCUGCUCCUUGGAGGUGUCUGGCUUUCUGGUGGCGCCACCUGGUGGUGAGUACAGAACUGCUCCUAGCUGGGCGGCAGCUAACGGACCUGGUGGCUCUGAGUACGACCAUUCCCUGACACUCACCCUCCAGCCCAUCCACCCCUUUCCUCAUUCCCCUGUGUUGACCACCUUCUGUGAGAAAAGACCUAAGGACCCCAACUCUGCUGUGGGGCAGAGACCCCUGAAGCCCAAGUUCCCAUGCCUCCCUCAGGCCUGGCUCUGACCUGAGGGGUAGGGUCUCUACGUGGUUGGCCAGGGUUCACCCUCAGGAUAUCCUUCAGGGCUGAUGACCUCUCAGUGGUUUCUAUAAACCAAGGCUGGAAGAAUGGGCCUCCUUCCUGGCCUGAGAUGGCCCAGGAAUGGGAAACCCAGUGAUGGUCCCUGGGCCCAUCCUUGACUCCCCACUGUACCUGCUUGGGUACACACACAUCCCCCUCCACAUUGAGGGGGCUCUGGGACUCCCAGAGGGACUGGCCUGGCUCCUAGGUUCCCUCUUAAGCAGCUAAGAGGCCUAGCCCAGCCCAGAGCUGUGUGUAUAAAGUUUGGAGAAAACUAGUAAGAAUUAGAAGACUGAAUUGUGCUCAGACCAGCCUUACCCCGCCUUGCACCCACAUGCUGUGUGAGCUUGGGUAAGACCCGUCCCUCCCUGGGCCUUGGUCUCCUUGUGGUAGAAUGGCGGUGGGGCAGGGAAUGAGCUAGGGGAUGGGUGAGGACCCCUAUAGCUCCCAGACUGGGGCCUUGUUAAGGUGCAAAUUCCUGGGCCCGCCCCAUCAGAACUCUGGGCCCAGGACCCUGGAAUCUACGUGAAGUUGGAAGCUGAGGCGGCCAAGUCCUGUCUUCGGGAGACGGAAGCCAGCAGUGUGUGUCGCCAGCAGGUAAGGAGAGUGUGAUGCUUUCAGGGGUCCUGAGAAGCAGAGGAACCCCCUAGCAGCCCAAUCCCCAUCUUUUAAUUUCUCCACCAUUCUGUGGAUGCAGGGAUGUGUCCCCCCCAGCUGCGUGUCUGUUGGACCCCACCGGCAGCAGCAGCAGAGGGACAGCAAGGAGGCUGCACAGGUUACAGCCAGGUUGCCCCCAUCCUUCGCCCCCUCGUGCUGGCUGUUUCACUUGUUCAAAGGACAGUGGUGGUGGGGCUGGGACAGCCUGGGGUGGGACUGGGGGCCUUGUUACUUGAGGAAGUAUUUUCAGAGUCCCCCUCCCUCUGGAGUUUCCAGUGGUAGAAUAGAGCCCUGUCUAGCAUUUGACCAAAUAUGGUGGUAUCUCUCAUGAGCUCGAGCCUCAGCCAGCUUCUCAGUUAUGCUGUGGAAACCUGCCCCGGACAGAUUAAUCUUGUGACAUUCAGGAGCGCCUUGCACCCUGCGUUCUUCCCUCGGUGAUUCCUGUAAAUGGCCAAGAGUGGCCCUGAGUAGGACGGUGCAGUCCUGGAUGCCUGUUCACGGUGUCCCUCCCCUGUCCUCUUCACACCCUCUUCCACCCCCUCCUCCAUCCCCCGGAUGCCGGCGGGGUGGGGGGGGACUUGCUCGCUCACAUUCAGCUGGGCUGCUCACUCAAGGGGAGAGAUCCAGACCAGCAGGGCUGGUCCGUUCAGCCCGUGAUUCCAGGAUGUGUAGACCCUGGGGUCACCUGAGCUCAUGAAAUUGUGGCCAGAGCCUGUGAAGCCCAGAAGUCUCUCAGCCAUGAGGGUGGGCCCGAGGGGGUAGAAAGGAGAGUUGGCUGAGCAAUGAGAACCGUGCUUUGCUCUGAUGCUAACGUUCCCAGUAACAAUUAUACAAUUAUUUUAUAAUGAUAACAUUCAUAAUAAACAGCUGUGUUUAUUGAGCACAUACUACGUGGCACUGUGCCAGUUGUUUAACAUGGGUUCUUUCCCUUACUCCUUGUGGCAGCCCCGAGAGGUGGCUACUAUGACAUCCCCAUCCUAGAGAUGGGGGCACUGAGACUCAGAAAGAUUUCAGGGAGAAAUGGGCCAGGCCACUGUCGAUUCCUGGGUACGACUCCCAUUUUACAGAGAAGGAAACUGAGGCUGAGAGAGAAUGGAAGUCACAAGCAGCCACACAGGGGCAGGCCCUUGGAGUGGAGACCUUCUCUACACGAGGGGGAGCGUUGCAUCCGGAAGGCCAGGACAACCGGCCGUGAAGUCCUCACGAACCCGUGACUUGGCCUGCGUGAGAGCACACAGAUUCAGAAACAUGUUCAUAGCAGGCCAGAAUUGUGCAGAAAAUAUGCCAAGAAAAACAGAGUGGGGUGGUGGAUAAAGCCCCACAUGGGGACCAGAUACGAACCCCAGCUCUGUCAUCUCUCACUCAUUGUAUAAUCCUAGACAAGUCCUUUCUUCACCCUGGCCCCAGUUUCCCCUCCUGUGAACUACCAGUGUACUGGGGCCACGGAGCUCACCUGAGGCUGGCUGAGGCCGGAGUGCCUGAGGCUGUUUCCCUGGGAGAUGGGGCCUGUGUCCCACUCCUGGCUAGCUCUCUCUGAGAACAUUUGAUCUCCUGACCAACGGACAGCCUGUCCCUCCUCCACCCUUGCCCCCUUGCCAUCCCCCAAACUAACGAAGCCGAUUGUCUCAGGCGGCCCUGUGGGUGCUGGCUGGGCGGCCGGCCGCAGGCCACAGGCGGAGGUACCACCCGCCAGAGCCCCAUCAGACACACAGGGCAUUGUCCCUCAGUCAACAGCCCCUGGGCACCUCGUCCCAGCUCCUGGCCUGCCCCCACGCCCCUCACCGCCUGCCACUGCGCCAGGCCCAGCCAGCUGGGGGCCCAAGGCUCCCAGGCGAUGACGAGCCCACCCACCCACUCCCCCGGCAACCCCCUGACGAGCUAUAAUUGCUUCGCGCCGUCCUGUUGCUGCCAUUCUCCUGGCGGAGGCAUCUGGGGUUCCAGGCGGGUGGCAGCUGCAGGCCGAUCGCCUGGCUCGCAGGAUGGACUGGCCACACAACCUGGUACGUGACGAUUCACCACUCCACCCCCAUCCCUUUUUAGGGCCUGAAUGUUUCGUUACUUCUUCUCUAUUGAUUAAUAGCAACCUCUGUUUGGCUUGGAAUCUGCAGAGGUGAGUUCUCCCUCUGUCCUCUCCCCCAGGACACGAAGGAAACAGAGACGGGUCUCAGAGGCUGCAGCCAUGGCCAGUAGCUCGGCUCCUGAGCUGUGCUCAGCCCCAUGACACUGAAGCCCUUUCAGGCCAAAGGCAUCUGGGGAGAUCUUGGCCAUCUCCGUUAUCGGGGUUUUUCCAAAGAGCCUCUGGGUCCUGAGAUCCAGGCUGUGUGACCCUGGGCAAGUCCUUCUGUUUCUCUGUUUCCCAUCUAUAAAGGGAGAGCCAGAGUUUAAGAACGCCAUGUGAGAAGCUCCGAUGAGAAAGCCUAUUGUUAGGGAGACAUUUUUCUGCAGCAGAAUCUAGGACCAAAAUGGAAGAAUUCAGCCACUUGAAUCUGUCAUGGAUUUUGUGCCAAGAAAUGGUUCUGCCGAGAGGGGCUCUGCCGGAACUUGUUUCUAAGGGUCAAGACUGGCUGGGUAGAUUGGCACGGGCCGUGUGGGUGGUAGGGUGAGGGAUACAGGGCAGGUGGGAGCCUGGCUAGAUUCAACGAGGAGAUGAAAUUCCCCCUAGAGGGUCCUCCCUUCUGACCAGCCCUGGCCCUCACCCAAGUCCUGGCCCUUCUCUCCCGGCUUCCUGAGGAGUCUGUGUUCUGCUGGGCUCCCAGGUCCUCUGCCGUGUGAGUGAGAGGCUUUCCUGAUGCUCCCAGAUGUGGAUGGUCGGGUGAGGGUGGACAAGGGGCCAGGCAGGCAGAGGGUCCGGGUGUGGACGAGGGGAGCAAAGCUGUCAUGGAGGCCAACAGGGAUCCUUGGCCAUGACCUGCCCACCUCCCCAGCUGCAUCUCCCAGCCGCUUCUUUCAGCCUCCUUUCAGCAAAGCUCUUAACCAACUGAAACUUCGUUUCACACUUUCCUCCCCCCACCCCAUACAAUUUUUAGGCUCCCUCUGCCCAUAUCUGCCUCUGUCUUAUCCUUCAAACCUCACCAGACACGCCCCCUCCCCAGAAAGUCUUUGCAAGACCACCCCACUGCCACAAGGCUAAGCGGGUGGCCCUGCUCUUCUCUAACCACACGCUGUGUGGUCCCAUCCACACACUGCUGCUAGCGAGGCUUAGGUGCACGUUUUCUUGUUCGCCGUCUGUUUUCCUUGCCAGACUGUAAGCGACAGAUGGGCAGGGAUGGUGACAGGCAUUCAUUCACUCAGCAGAUGUUUACUGAAUACCUAAGUGCCCAGUACCGUGCAGACACAGGGGAUGAGGCAGUGUGUGGGAACGGAUACGAUGCGGGCCCUCAUGGAGCCUGUGCUAGGUGUGGGCCCAACAUAUGAAAGAAUCACAUGUAUGCACCGUAAGGCUACAGUCACGCAAGAGGCAUCAGGUGUUGAGAGCCCAAGAAGGUCCACAGAGGCCUCCCUAAGGAAGUGGCACUGGAGCCAAGACCUGAAGGGUGAGAGGCAGGACUCUGCAGGGAACAGCCUGUGCAAGGUCCUUGUGCAGAAAGGAGCAUGGGGAGAGGAGGGUUUGUGAGAAGGCCCGAGGCUGAAGCACGGGUGUGAGGGGCAGCCAGGAGUGAUUUGAGGGAGGAGAACUCAGCAGAGGUCUGGCCUGGGCAGGUGAUGUUAAUAGGUUUGCAUUUCAAACACCCAUCCUUGGCCAGGGUGUGGAGAAUUGAUUGGAAGGAGACAGGGGAGGAUGUGGGGUACCAGGUAGGAGGCUGGUUGAGCUGUCCAAGAAGGGGAGGCUGGUGGUACAGAUAGUGAAGUGGAUGGCUGGGGAGAUUUUUUUUUUUUUUUUUUUUUGCGGUACGUGGGCCUCUCACUGUUGUGGCCUCUCCCGUUGCGGAGCACAGGCUCCAGACGCUCCGCGGCAUGUGGGAUCUUCCCGGACCGGGGCAUGAACCCGUGUCCCCUGCAUCGGCAGGCGGACUCUCAUCCACUGCGCCACCAGGGAAGCCCUGGGGAGAUUCUUAAGAGGUGCAUCAGGACUUAGCGAUGAGCGUGGUGCGUACAUGCAUCUGUACACAUGUGGUGGGCUGGUGGGACCAGGCCAGGGCAUGACAGGUGAGGGUGGCCCCGCUAGAGGCCUUGCCUCUUCCUUGGGCCCCAAAUCUUAGCCCAGAAGGAGACCUGGCUCUCCCACCUUUGACCUGUGGCCUUCCUCCUCAGCUAUUCCUUCUCACCAUCUCCAUCUUCCUGGGGCUGGGCCAGCCCAGGAACCCCAAA